rnacentral:rRNA from 1 species
AACGAACGCUGGCGGCAGGCUUAACACAUGCAAGUCGAACGCACCUUUCGGGGUGAGUGGCAGACGGGUGAGUAACGCGUGGGAAUCUACCCUUCUCUACGGGAUAGCUCCGGGAAACUGGAAUUAAUACCGUAUACGUCCUGAGGGAGAAAGAUUUAUCGGGGAAGGAUGAGCCCGCGUUGGAUUAGCUAGUUGGUGGGGUAAAGGCCUACCAAGGCGACGAUCCAUAGCUGGUCUAAGAGGAUGAUCAGCCACAUUGGGACUGAGACACGGCCCAAACUCCUACGGGAGGCAGCAGUGGGGAAUAUUGGACAAUGGGCGCAAGCCUGAUCCAGCCAUGCCGCGUGAGUGAUGAAGGCCCUAGGGUUGUAAAGCUCUUUCAGUGGGGACGAUAAUGACGGUACCCACAGAAGAAGCCCCGGCUAACUUCGUGC